GGUGAGUUUUGUGAGUCAGAGGUGUUGGAGGAACAAAAAGUGACUGACACAGUACGUGUUUGUUAGCUCAUCUUUGUCAGAAUCAAACAAGAGACAGCUCUCAGUUUUCCCAUAGAGAACAUGAUGAGUCACAUCACCAUAUCUGGACUUGGUCAUCAGGAGGUUAUUCAGUGCAGACCUGAGGAAAACAAGAUUAGAUCAUGGACCAGUGGAGGGACAUCGCCAGGUGUAGAAAACAACAUGAAACAUGGAGAGCUAAGAUGUCACUACAAAACACAAGAAUGAGAAUUUGAUCGUAGGAAACACAAUAUUCCAGAUGUUUUAAUCGCCCUGAAAAACAAUGAAAAACACGUGUCCUGAGCACGCCUUGCAUCUCCACAAACCAGACCAUCCUGCUUAUUUCCAUGGAAAUGUUGCUGCUUAUCUAUCUCCAUGGAAAAUGUUACAUAGUAUGGUUUUAACUUUCUUUUUCCAUGGAAUCAGGCAGGUGACUUUCCAGCUCCAGAAAGUUACAUACUAUCACUAUAUGCUGAUUGCAAUUAAUCUCAUUAUUAGAAAAGUAUAAAUGACGUACUUUAAUUUUAGCAGUACUCUAUCAGUGUUCAUUUUGUUCAUUACAAAAGUGACGUAUGGACUUACUCAUCUGUGUAUAUACGGUAAGGUGACGCAAAGACACACUGAC